UACGGGGGGGGCAAGCGUUGUUCGGAGUUACUGGGCGUAAAGGGUGUGUAGGCGGUCUUCUAAGUUUGGUGUGAAAUCUCCCGGCUCAACUGGGAGGGUGCGCCGAAAACUGGGAGGCUAGAGUACUGGAUGGGAGAGUGGAAUUCCUGGUGUAGCGGUGAAAUGCGUAGAUAUCAGGAGGAACACCGGUGGUGUAGACGGCUCUCUGGACAGUAACUGACGCUGAGACACGAAAGCGUGGGUAGCAAACAGG
rnacentral:rRNA from 1 species